UACGGAGGGUGCAAGCGUUAUCCGGAUUCACUGGGUUUAAAGGGAGCGUAGGUGGGCUGGUAAGUCAGUGGUGAAAUCUCCGAGCUUAACUCGGAAAUUGCCGUUGAUACUAUUAGUCUUGAAUAUUGUGGAGGUUAGCGGAAUAUGUCAUGUAGCGGUGAAAUGCUUAGAUAUGACAUGGAACACCAAUUGCGAAGGCAGCUGGCUACGCAUAUAUUGACACUGAGGCUCGAAAGCGUGGGGAUCAAACAGGAUUAGAUACCCUGGUAGUCCACGCCCUAAACUAUGGAUACUCGACAUACGCGAUACACUGUGUGUGUCUGAGCGAAAGCAUUAAGUAUCCCACCUGGGAAGUACGAUCGCAAGAUUG
rnacentral:rRNA from 1 species